GAGCAGGUCUGUCCGAGCGUCUGCCAACCAAAUGCAUUGUCACCAUACGGUGACAAGAGUGAGGAGCUGCGCCACCUGGUUACACUGCACUCCUUGAAAAUGUGCAACACCACAUUGUGACAAGGCAGAGAAGACAGUCGUCACUAUAACAGGUUGUUUCGCCUCGUUGAGCCUGCAACUUUGUGUAACCAUCUGGACCUCGGAUCAGG
rnacentral:misc_RNA from 1 species